rnacentral:rRNA from 1 species
UACGAAGGGGGCUAGCGUUGCUCGGAAUCACUGGGCGUAAAGCGCACGUAGGCGGCUUUCUAAGUCAGGGGUGAAAUCCUGGAGCUCAACUCCAGAACUGCCUUUGAUACUGGAGAGCUUGAGUCCGGGAGAGGUGAGUGGAACUCCGAGUGUAGAGGUGAAAUUCGUAGAUAUCGAGAGGAACACCGGUGGCGAAGGCGGCCAACUGGACAGAUACUGACGCUGAGACACGAAAGAGUGGGGAGCAAACAGG